rnacentral:rRNA from 1 species
UACAGAGGUCCCGAGCGUUGUUCGGAUUCAUUGGGCGUAAAGGGUGCGUAGGCGGUCUUCUAAGUUUGAUGUGAAAUCCCGGGGCUCAACCCUGGAAUUGCAUUGAAUACUGGAGGACUAGAGUACCGGAGAGGAAACUGGAAUUUACGGUGUAGCAGUGAAAUGCGUAGAGAUCGUAAGGAAGACCAGUGGCGAAGGCGGGUCUCUGGACAGUUCCUGACACUGAGACACGAAGGCCAGGGGAGCAAACGGG